GACGAACGCUGGCGGCGUGCUUAACACAUGCAAGUCGAACGGAAAGGCCCUGCUUUUGUGGGGUGCUCGAGUGGCGAACGGGUGAGUAACACGUGAGUAACCUGCCCUUGACUUUGGGAUAACUUCAGGAAACUGGGGCUAAUACCGGAUAGGAGCUCCUGCUGCAUGGUGGGGGUUGGAAAGUUUCGGCGGUUGGGGAUGGACUCGCGGCUUAUCAGCUUGUUGGUGGGGUAGUGGCUUACCAAGGCUUUGACGGGUAGCCGGCCUGAGAGGGGGACCGGCCACAUUGGGACUGAGAUACGGCCCAGACUCCUACGGGAGGCAGCAGUGGGGAAUAUUGCACAAUGGGCGGAAGCCUGAGGCAGCAACGCCGCGUGCGGGAUGACGGCCUUCGGGUUGUAAACCGCUUUCGCCUGUGACGAAGCGUGAGUGACGGUAAUGGGUAAAGAAGCACCGGCUAACUACGUG
rnacentral:rRNA from 1 species